rnacentral:rRNA from 1 species
UACGAAGGGGGCUAGCGCUGUUCGGAAUUACUGGGCGUAAAGGGCGCGUAGGCGGCGUGUCAAGUCAGGCGUGAAAGCCCCGGGCUCAACCUGGGAACCGCGCUUGAGACUGGCAUGCUCGAGUUCGGGAGAGGAUGGUGGAAUUCCCAGUGUAGAGGUGAAAUUUCGUAGAUAUUGGGAAGAACACCGAUGGCGAAGGCAGCCAUCUGGACCGACACUGACGCUAGGCGCGAAAAGCGUGGGGAGCAAACAGGG